rnacentral:rRNA from 1 species
GAUGAACGCUGGCGGCGUGCCUAAUACAUGCAAGUCGAGCGAACGGACGAGAAGCUUGCUUCUCUGAUGUUAGCGGCGGACGGGUGAGUAACACGUGGAUAACCUACCUAUAAGACUGGGAUAACUUCGGGAAACCGGAGCUAAUACCGGAUAAUAUUUUGAACCGCAUGGUUCAAAAGUGAAAGACGGUCUUGCUGUCACUUAUAGAUGGAUCCUCGCUGCAUUAGCUAGUUGGUAAGGUAACGGCUUACCAAGGCAACGAUGCAUAGCCGACCUGAGAGGGUGAUCAGCCACACUGGAACUGAGACACGGUCCAGACUCCUACGGGAGGCAGCAGUAGGGAAUCUUCCGCAAUGGGCGAAAGCCUGACGGAGCAACGCCGCGUGAGUGAUGAAGGUCUUCGGAUCGUAAAACUCUGUUAUUAGGGAAGAACAUAUGUGUAAGUAACUGUGCACAUCUUGACGGUACCUAAUCAGAAAGCCACGGCUAACUACGUG